AGAACCCUGGCCGAAUUCCUCCCCUCUCCUCUCUCCUAAAUCAUCUUUCUUGCUAUUGGUGUUUGUAAACCAUUAGAGGAGUGACAUUUGUGACUCUAGAAGCUCCAAGACCUCAAGAUCAACAAGGAACUCAAAGGUGGUUGUCCGUAGGGAACAUAUUUAUCAUAAUCGCACAAAACACAAGAGGGCGGUGAUCAUCGAAUAAUCAACUUUCCACGUCUACUAAGCGCAUAUAUAUCUUCCCCAAAUUCAUGGCAUGUCAAAACUUUCUUUUUCGUGUGGGCAAAAUGGUACUUCAAUCAUCAAUAUGAGGAGAGAUUUGAUAGACUUGAUGUUGCAAAUCAGCGUGCUUUUAUUUUAUGUAGCGGAUUAAAUCGAUAAAAUAUUUUAUGCUUUGAUUUUCAUCAUCUAGAGAUAUUUGAACUCCUAUAUUAGGAUAUAUAUACAACUUGUUUACUUGUUUUAUAGGGUAAAAAUAUGUAAAUUUAUGUUAUCAUUUUACUUGUGAGUAUAUAAUGAGAACUCUUUUUGAAAAAAGAUAUAUUUUUCACGAAAACUCUCAAUAUUUGCGAUCAUCUUCAUUGCCCACCACCCACGUAUUAUGAUGGUUGAUCAGGGCGGCGGCCCAUUGACAUAUCUAUUUCUGUUCAUUAGAGUUAUUAGUUACUUAAUAUAAAGUCUGAACAAAGUUUCUCGUGAAUUAAAAAAAUAACAACAUAUUUUCAUCACAUUAACAAACAAACUUCAGUUUAACCGAGCUUUGAAAGAACAUCAUUAAGACUAGAUACAGCUGCAGCGUAACUCUUCUCUGCAUCAGCCGGGCUUUUGAUCUUUGCUGCGUAGUCCAACUAAUCCAAACAACAUACAAAAACAACAUCAAAAUACAUGCAUCGGAAAGAUAAGCAGUUUGACCAAAUUACCCUUACACACUACUAGCAUUAGAAUGUAAUUAUAAUUCACUUUCUUUCUUUCAUCGAAAAUCUCCAGUUUACCCUACGAUUAUGAAAUUUUAAAGGUGGAUUUUACGCAUAAAUGACACGUUUGUUUAAGAUGUUUUUGCUCUAUUUUUACAAGAAAGUAAGGGGCGUUUUGGACAUUUUAACUAGUUUUGGAAAACUUACAUCAGCCAUGUUCUGGAAAAGCUUCCCGGUGAGAUCUUUGAGUUCCUUCUUUUCGUCCUUUGGCUUUGCGGAGAUGAUCGUCUUGAGGUCAUAACGAAGGUACUCCGACUUCAAACGAAGAUCGUUCUGGACAUAUGGCCAUGCCUUUUUGUCGAUGAACUCCUUGACAUUUACAAUUUCUUUCGCCGAUUCCUUUACACGAGCUGUGGCCUCAGUUGGUGAUAAUGGCUGGAUGAAGAACCGGUUCUUCAAUGGUAGAUCAAAGUCUCUUGCCUCAUCGGAGUUAAGAGUACCAGCUGCAAUCACACAUAAAGAUUCAUUAAAAUUAUAAAAAUUAAAGGGUAUUACAAGAGGUUGCCGGAGACUUACGGAGUCCACCGGAAGGUGGUGGAGGUGGGCCUAACUUGAUCGGUUUAGCAUCAGCAAGAACCGCCUGAACAAAAGAACCGGAAGCAAGACCAGUGGCAAUGAGUCCCAACACAGCUCUUCUGCUUGUUUCGGAUUCACCUUGUCCUUGUUGGGCUCUAACUACGAGUCCAGACCGGGAAACAGCAAUCCGGUUGUUCCCAACCGGUGUCAAACGGGUGGAGCUGUUGAGCUGGAGGCUGCCUUCCAAGACAGCUAGAGAGGAA